rnacentral:lncRNA from 1 species
UCAUAGAAGUAAAGGCUGGUAGAAAACUAAAAAUAACCAAUGGAGCACAAAUUUUGAAUAUAUUCAUUUAUCAAUAAUCAAACCAUGAACCAUCCACUUAUCUUAGUGGGAUUUAUAAAAACAACCAAUGGAAACAACAACAUCAUAGAUAUCAUGAAUUCAUACAUAAUCUGUAACAUAGCACAUGUCAUACUUUUAUAUUUCAAUCAUCAAAUAACAGUUGCCCCAUUUUUCAUCAGCCUAUUAGUAUCCAUGGGGAUCCAUAGGGGUCCCCGCUACACGUGAACCCUUCCCUUAACAAACUUAAUUUCCAGGGCCGUCCCCAUACCCGUCCGGUAUAGGCACCGAAUAAUAAACCUCAAUACCCCGUCCGGUAUGAUGGUGAAGCGGGUCGUCCCCAUACCCCGUCCGGUAUGGGCGCUAAAAGAUUUAAAGUCUCCAUACCCCGUCCGGUAUGAGACAACGUUCCCGGUAGGGUUCCCUAUAGACCCGGUCCGUCCACCAUCUCUCAGGAUAUGUAAUGAGGCUUUUAACUUAUCCAUUCAUUAAUUCACACCUUUUUCCUAUUUUUUUCUUAGUUUCCUGUUUCCCA